rnacentral:rRNA from 1 species
GACUGAGACACGGCCCAGACUCCUACGGGAGGCAGCAGUGGGGAAUAUUGGACAAUGGGCGCAAGCCUGAUCCAGCAAUGCCGCGUGGGUGAAGAAGGUCUUCGGAUCGUAAAGCCCUUUCGACAGGGACGAUGAUGACGGUACCUGUAGAAGAAGCCCCGGCUAACUUCGUGCCAGCAGCCGCGGUAAUACGAAGGGGGCUAGCGUUACUCGGAAUUACUGGGCGUAAAGGGUCGCGUAGGCGGCUCGACCAUGUCAGGCGUGAAAUUCCUGGGCUUAACCUGGGGACUGCGCUUGAUACUGUUGGGCUUGAGGCCGAGAGAGGGUGGUGGAAUUCCCAGUGUAGAGGUGAAAUUCGUAGAUAUUGGGAAGAACACCGGUGGCGAAGGCGACCACCUGGCUCGGUACUGACGCUGAGGCGCGACAGCGUGGGGAGCAAACAGGAUUAGAUACCCUGGUAGUCCACGCCGUAAACGAUGUGUGCUGGAUGUUGGGGUCCUCUAGGAUCUCAGUGUCGUAGCCAACGCGGUAAGCACACCGCCUGGGGGU